rnacentral:rRNA from 1 species
UACAGAGGUCUCAAGCGUUGUUCGGAUUCAUUGGGCGUAAAGGGUGCGUAGGCGGCGCGGUAAGUCGGGUGUGAAAUCUCGGAGCUUAACUCCGAAACUGCAUUCGAUACUGCCGUGCUUGAGGACUGGAGAGGAGACUGGAAUUUACGGUGUAGCGGUGAAAUGCGUAGAUAUCGUAAGGAACACCAGUGGCGAAGGCGGGUCUCUGGACAGUUCCUGACGCUGAGGCGCGAAGGUCAGGGGAGCAAACGGG